GAUGAACGCUGGCGGCGUGCCUAAUACAUGCAAGUCGAGCGAACAGACGAGGAGCUUGCUCCUCUGACGUUAGCGGCGGACGGGUGAGUAACACGUGGAUAACCUACCUAUAAGACUGGGAUAACUUCGGGAAACCGGAGCUAAUACCGGAUAAUAUAUUGAACCGCAUGGUUCAAUGGUGAAUGACGGUUUUGCUGUCACUUAUAGAUGGAUCCGCGCCGCAUUAGCUAGUUGGUAAGGUAACGGCUUACCAAGGCAAGGAUGCGUAGCCGACCUGAGAGGGUGAUCGGCCACACGGGAACUGAGCCACGGUCCAGACUCCUACGGGAGGCAGCAGUAGGGAAUCUUCCGCAAUGGGCGAAAGCUUGACGGAGCAACGCCGCGUGAGUGAUGAAGGUCUUCGGAGCGUAAAGCUCUGUUAUUAGGGAAGAACAAAUGUGUAAGUAACUAUGGACGUCUUGACGGUACCGAAUCAGAAAGCCACGGCUAACUACGUG
rnacentral:rRNA from 1 species